rnacentral:rRNA from 1 species
CUCAAAGGAAUUGACGGGGGCCCGCACAAGCGGUGGAGCAUGUGGUUUAAUUCGAAGCAACGCGAAGAACCUUACCAGGUCUUGACAUCUUUUGAUCACCUGAGAGAUCAGGUUUCCCCUUCGGGGGCAAAAUGACAGGUGGUGCAUGGUUGUCGUCAGCUCGUGUCGUGAGAUGUUGGGUUAAGUCCCGCAACGAGCGCAACCCUUAUGACUAGUUGCCAGCAUUUAGUUGGGCACUCUAGUAAGACUGCCGGUGACAAACCGGAGGAAGGUGGGGAUGACGUCAAAUCAUCAUGCCCCUUAUGACCUGGGCUACACACGUGCUACAAUGGAUGGUACAACGAGUUGCGAGACCGCGAGGUCAAGCUAAUCUCUUAAAGCCAUUCUCAGUUCGGACUGUAGGCUGCAACUCGCCUACACGAAGUCGGAAUCGCUAGUAAUCGCGGAUCAGCACGCCGCGGUGAAUACGUUCCCGGGCCUUGUACACACCGCCCGUCACACCAUGAGAGUUUGUAACACCCGAAGCCGGUGGCGUAACCCUUUUAGGGAGCGAGCCGUCUAAGGUGGGACAAAUGAUUAGGGUGAAGUCGUAACAAGGUAGCCGUAGGAGAACCUGCGGCUG